rnacentral:rRNA from 1 species
UACAGAGGGGGCAAGCGUUAAUCGGAAUUACUGGGCGUAAAGCGCACGUAGGUGGCUGGGUAAGUUGGAUGUGAAAUCCCCGGGCUUAACUUGGGAAUUGCAUUCAAGACUGCCUUGCUAGAGUGUGGAAGAGGGAAGCGGAAUUCCAGGUGUAGCGGUGAAAUGCGUAGAUAUCUGGAGGAACAUCAGUGGCGAAGGCGGCUUCCUGGUCCAAAACUGACACUGAGGUGCGAAAGCGUGGGGAGCAAACAGG